CCUACGGGAGGCAGCAGUAGGGAAUUUUCGGCAAUGGGCGAAAGCCUGACCGAGCAAUGCCGCGUGAGUGAAGAAGGCCUUCGGGUUGUAAAGCUCUGUUGUAAAGGAAGAACGGAUGGCAUCGUGAAUGAUGCCAUUGUGACGGUACUUUACGAGGAAGUCACGGCUAACACCGUGCCAGCAGCCGCGGGAAUACGUAGGUGGCGAGGGUUAGCCGGAAUUAUUGGGCGUAAAGGGGGCGCAGGCGGAAAGAAAAGCUUAAGGGGAAAGCGUGGGGCUAAACCCCAUAAAGCCUUAGAAACUAGCAUGCUAGAGUGCAGGAGAGGGCGAUGGAAUUCCAUGUGUAGCGGUAAAAUGCGUAGAUAGAUGGAGGAACACCAGUGGCGAAGGCGGUCGCCUGGCCUGUAACUGACGCUGAGGCACGAAAGCGUGGGGAGCAAAUAGGAUUAGAUACCCCUGUAGUC
rnacentral:rRNA from 1 species